rnacentral:rRNA from 1 species
AAAUCUGGCGUCUUUGGCGUCCGAGUUGUAAUUUGAAGAAGGUAUCUUUGGGCCCGGCUCUUGUCUAUGUUCCUUGGAACAGGACGUCACAGAGGGUGAGAAUCCCGUGCGAUGAGAUGACCCGGGUCUGUGUAAAGUUCCUUCGACGAGUCGAGUUGUUUGGGAAUGCAGCUCUAAGUGGGUGGUAAAUUCCAUCUAAAGCUAAAUAUUGGCGAGAGACCGAUAGCGAACAAGUACAGUGAUGGAAAGAUGAAAAGAACUUUGAAAAGAGAGUGAAAAAGUACGUGAAAUUGUUGAAAGGGAAGGGCUUGAGAUCAGACUUGGUAUUUUGCAUGUUGCUCUCUCGGGGGCGGCCGCUGCGGUUUACCGGGCCAGCAUCGGUUUGGAGCGGCAGGAUAAUGGCGGAGGAAUGUGGCACGGCUUCUGCUGUGUGUUAUAGCCUCUGACGAUACUGCCAGCCUAGACCGAGGACUGCGGUUUUUACCUAGGAUGUUGGCAUAAUGAUCUUAAGUCGCCCGUCUUGA